rnacentral:rRNA from 1 species
GAGUUUGAUCCUGGCUCAGAACGAACGCUGGCGGCGUGCUUAACACAUGCAAGUCAGGGAGAAAGUCUCUUCGGGGAUGAUUAAACCGGCGCGCGGGUGAGUAACACGUGAGUGACCUGCCUUUUAGACUGGAACAACUUACCGAAAGGUGAGCUAAUGCCGGAUGAGUUAUAUAAGUGCAUGUUUAUAUAGGAAAAGUUGGGGAGACCUGACGCUGAAAGAUGGACUCGCGUCCCAUUAGCUAGUUGGUAGGGUAAUGGCCUACCAAGGCGACAAUGGGUAGCCGGCCUGAGAGGGUGGCCGGCCACACUGGGACUGAGACACGGCCCAGACUCCUACGGGAGGCAGCAGUGGGGAAUUUUGCGCAAUGCUCGUAAGAGUGACGCAGCGACGCCGCGUGAAUGACGAAGGCCUUCGGGUCGUAAAGUUCUUUCGACAGGGAAGAAAAUGCCUAUAAGUAACUGUGUAUGUAUUGACGGUACCUGUAUAAGCAGCCCCGGCUAACUCCGUGCCAGCAGCCGCGGUAAUACGGAGGGGGCGAGCGUUGUUCGGAGUGACUGGGCGUAAAGAGCACGUAGGCGGUGUUGUAAGUCAUUAGUCAAAGACUAGAGCUCAACUUUAGUAAGGCUAGUGAUACUAUAAUACUAGAGUAUCA